UCUGUAGCUCAGUAGUACAGUAUCUGCUUUGCACGCAGAAAGCCCCAGGUUUGUUCCUUGGUGUCUCAA